rnacentral:rRNA from 1 species
UACGUAGGUGGCAAGCGUUAUCCGGAUUUAUUGGGCGUAAAGGGAACGCAGGCGGUCUUUUAAGUCUGAUGUGAAAGCCUUCGGCUUAACCGGAGUAGUGCAUUGGAAACUGGGAGACUUGAGUGCAGAAGAGGAGAGUGGAACUCCAUGUGUAGCGGUGGAAUGCGUAGAUAUAUGGAAGAACACCAGUGGCGAAGGCGGCUCUCUGGUCUGCAACUGACGCUGAGGCUCGAAAGCAUGGGUAGCGAACAGG